GACGUAGGGCGCAAGCGUUGUCCGGAUUUAUUGGGCGUAAAGAGCGUGUAGGCGGCCAGACAGGUCCGCUGUGAAAACUCGAGGCUCAACCUCGAGAUGUCGGUGGAAACCGUCUGGCUAGAGUCCGGAAGAGGAGAGUGGAAUUCCCGGUGUAGCGGUGAAAUGCGCAGAUAUCAGGAAGAACACCCGUGGCGAAGGCGGCUCUCUGGUACGUGACUGACGCUGAGACGCGAAAGCGUGGGGAGCGAACAGG
rnacentral:rRNA from 1 species